GAUGAACGCUGGCGGCGUGCCUAAUACAUGCAAGUCGAGCGAACGGACGAGAAGCUUGCUUCUCUGAUGUUAGCGGCGGACGGGUGAGUAACACGUGGAUAACCUACCUAUAAGACUGGGAUAACUUCGGGAAACCGGAGCUAAUACCGGAUAAUAUUUUGAACCGCAUGGUUCAAAAGUGAAAGACGGUCCUGCUGUCACUUAUAGAUGGAUCCGCGCUGCAUUAGCUAGUUGGUAAGGUAACGGCUUACCAAGGCAACGAUGCAUAGCCGACCUGAGAGGGUGAUCGGCCACACUGGAACUGAGACACGGUCCAGACUCCUACGGGAGGCAGCAGUAGGGAAUCUUCCGCAAUGGGCGAAAGCCUGACGGAGCAACGCCGCGUGAGUGAUGAAGGUCUUCGGAUCGUAAAACUCUGUUAUUAGGGAAGAACAAAUGUGUAAGUAACUAUGCACAUCUUGACGGUACCUAAUCAGAAAGCCACGGCUAACUACGUG
rnacentral:rRNA from 1 species